rnacentral:rRNA from 1 species
UACGGAGGGUGCAAGCGUUGUCCGGAUUUAUUGGGCGUAAAGAGCGUGUAGGCGGCCAGACAGGUCCGUUGUGAAAACUCGAGGCUCAACCUCGAGACGCCGAUGGAAACCGUCUGGCUAGAGUCCGGAAGAGGAGAGUGGAAUUCCUGGUGUAGCGGUGAAAUGCGCAGAUAUCAGGAAGAACACCCGUGGCUAAGGCGGCUCUCUAGUACGGUACUGACGCUGAGACGCGAAAGCGUGGGGAGCGAACAGG